AGCAAUUUUCUUGGUGAUCUUGAACAUCCUUGAACCAUCUACCUUAAUGUCCCAAACAUUUCUGAUAACUUGGUGGAUAUCCUCAUAUUGCAACCAUCUCUUGUCAAAGUAGAAUAGCUUCUGUUUUCUCCUGCUCUCAGGGCUAUUGUCAAUCAGCAGCAUGCUGUGAUCUGAGCCAUAGUUCUCCACAUGCACACAUUUUGCUUUGUCAAAAGUCUAGAACCAAUCUAAGCUACUCAUGUGCUCUAUCUAGCCUUUGUCUCACCUCUCCUUCAUUAUCCCAAUUGUUGCACCAGGACCAUGGGUUCCCUUCAAACCCUAUGUCUAUGAGGUCAUUUUCCUUAAUGAAGUUCCUAAAGUCCCUAAAACUCCAUUCCUCUCUUUCCUUACCUCCCCAUUUCUCCUCAUUGGAAGUAAUAUCGUUAAAGUCACCAGCAAUCAUCCAUCUACUUCCCUAUAAGGCUUUCCUCCUAUUAAUGACUUUCCAUUGAUUUCUUCUUAUUAUGUCC
rnacentral:lncRNA from 1 species